UACUGUGAUAAAGAAGGCACAUUUCCUUAUCAGUACUCCAGAACUAAGACUGCCCACUCAUCAUAAUCCAACUGCUUGAACUUGAAGGGACCAUAGAGACGACCUACUCCAUCUGAAACCUGAAUAGGAUUCCCUUCUACAACAUUUCUUGCAGCCUUCUGAGAUACUCUUUCUCAACCUUAUCCUGAGGAUAGCUGAACAACCAAGAAGUAGAAGGUAUAAAAAGACAAAUUUAGGGUUUCUAUUGGGGGGGGACUUCCUAAGAUUUAAGAGGAGUC
rnacentral:lncRNA from 1 species